GGCUUCUCACGUGAUGUUUUCUUCCCACAGGUGGAAAAGGAGGGAGCUACGCUCAGGCUGCAAGCAGUGACAGUGCCCAGGGCUCUGAUGUGUCUCUCACGGCUUCUAAAGCGUGAGACAGCUGCCUUGUGGGGGACUGAGUGAUGCAAGAUUUGUUCAUGCCCCACUUUGUGACUUCAGGAACCUCUGACCUCUCUCUGCAAAAGGCAUCUGAAUAGUUCUGCAUUCCUCUCAGCAUCCUGUGAGGAGGUGGGAGACUACCCGCCCCCUGCUCUCCACGCCCCGUCCCUGCACUGACUGGUGACUGAGCCUCUUCCCUGACCCACUGUCCUGUUCCAGCAGAGGCUGUUUCCAUCUCCGCCUUUACUUCAUGUUACUUUGAGCGGCAACUUCUCACUUCCUAUAGAAAUAAACAUUUGGAUAUGAAUUU